GUGGCUCUUCUUUCAUGUCAUGCAGGCUGCCAUAUACUUCAACAAAAUACAAUGCUUCUGCUUCGAGGAGCAGACUCUGCUCCCUGGAGAACAAAUAGAUAUGCCAGUGUUUUUCUAUAUUGACCCCGAGUUUGCGACGGAUCCCAAAAUGGAUGGCAUCAACAACCUGAUCCUCUCCUACACCUUUUUCAAUGUGAAAUGAGAGCUAUAAAAUUAGCUUUGCUGGACUACAUUAGAGAGUGGAUUGGCCUGAUAUGAUAUGUGAGAUAUAUCUGAUUCUCCUUAUUAGAAUACUAAUAAAGCAAUCCUGAUUGUUCCUUGAUACUUCAUUAGUACUAGUUCGCAGCUCUUUAUUUAAAAAA